UUUAUAUUAAUAUGUUUAUUUAUUUAUUUAAUGAUAACAGAUUAGUUUAGAAGAAGUCGAUACAAUGCUCAAUGAGAACUUUCCUGGGAUAUGUGCUACACUUUUAUAUUGGAUUUUAAGAAAUUUUAACGAAAAUCCCAAGAACUUCCGUAAAAAGUUGUCAAUAUAUCUUGAAGAAAAGCCUUAUGGACGCACUCCAAGAACAUGGUGCUUCAAGAAGAAGAUGAAGGAGAUGAAGGAGGCCGGUGAAGCGGUCGUUCUCACCGUUUAGGAGGUUAUUAGAUAUUUGAUUUUGUAGGCUUUAGUUUUCAUGGAUUAAUUAAUUUGAACUUGUUCAAUUGCGGUU